rnacentral:misc_RNA from 1 species
GAUGAAGAACGCAGCGAAAUGCGAUACGUAAUGUGAAUUGCAGAAUUCAGUGAAUCAUCGAGUCUUUGAACGCACAUUGCGCCCCCUGGUAUUCCGGGGGGCAUGCCUGUCCGAGCGUCAUUGCUGCCCUCAAGCACGGCUUGUGUGUUGGGCCUCCGUCCUCCUCCCGGGGGACGGGCCCGAAAGGCAGCGGCGGCACCGCGUCCGGUCCUCGAGCGUAUGGGGCUUCGUCACCCGCUCUUGUAGGCCCGGCCGGCGCUUGCCGACACAUCAAUCUUUUUUCUAGGUUGACCUCGGAUCAGGUAGGGAUACCCGCUGAACUUAAGCAUAUCAAUAACGGAGGA